rnacentral:rRNA from 1 species
UACAGAGGUCCCGAGCGUUGUUCGGAUUCAUUGGGCGUAAAGGGUGCGUAGGCGGCGGGGCAAGUCUGAUGUGAAAUCCCGGGGCUCAACCCCGGAACUGCAUUGGAUACUGCCUUGCUCGAGUACUGGAGAGGGAACUGGAAUUUACGGUGUAGCAGUGAAAUGCGUAGAGAUCGUAAGGAAGGCCAGUGGCGAAGGCGAGUUCCUGGACAGUUACUGACGCUGAGGCACGAAGGCCAGGGGAGCAAACGGG